rnacentral:tRNA from 1 species
GCCAGCAUGGCGUAGUGGUUUGAGCAUUGGACUAUUACUCUGGAGACCAGGGUUCGAAUCCCAGCUUGGACA